AGAGUUUGAUCAUGGCUCAGAACGUACGCUGGCGGCACGCCUAACACAUGCAAGUCGAACGAAGUAGCAAUACUUAGUGGCAGACGGGUGAGUAACAUGUGGGUAUCUGCCCUAUGGCCUGGAAUAACACGAGGAAACUUGUGCUAAUACCGGAUAAGUCUUUACGGAGAAAGCUUUAUGCACCAUUGGAUGAGCCCGCACUUGAUUAGUUUGUUGGUGGGGUAAUGGCCUACCAAGACUGUGAUCAAUAGCUGAUUUGAGAGGAUGAUCAGCCACAUUGGGACUGAGACACGGCCCAAACUCCUACGGGAGGCAGCAGUGGGGAAUCUUGCACAAUGGAGGAAACUCUGAUGCAGCGAUGCCGCGUGAGUGAAGAAGGCCCUUGGGUUGUAAAGCUCUUUCGUCGGGGAAGAAAAUGACUGUACCCGAAUAAGAAGGUCCGGCUAACUUCGUGCCAGCAGCCGCGGUAAUACGAAGGGACCUAGCGUAGUUCGGAAUUACUGGGCUUAAAGAGUUCGUAGGUGGUUGAAAAAGUUGGUGGUGAAAUCCCAGAGCUUAACUCUGGAACUGCCAUCAAAACUUUUCAGCUAGAGUAUGAUAGAGGAAAGCAGAAUUUCUAGUGUAGAGGUGAAAUUCGUAGAUAUUAGAAAGAAUACCAAUUGUGAAGGCAGCUUUCUGGAUCAUUACUGACACUGAGGAACGAAAGCAUGGGUAGCGAAGAGGAUUAGAUACCCUCGUAGUCCAUGCCGUAAACGAUGUGUGUUAGACGUUGGAAAUUUAUUUUCAGUGUCGCAGUGAAAGCGAUAAACACACCGCCUGGGGAGUACGACCGCAAGGUUAAAACUCAAAUGAAUUGACGGGGACCCGCACAAGUAGUGGAGCAUG
rnacentral:rRNA from 1 species